rnacentral:miRNA from 2 species
CUCUCCCACCGCUAAACUUGAC